AGUCUGACCUGCCCAAUGAUAAUUUAAAUGGCUGCAGUAUCCUGACUGUACAAAGGUAGCAUAAUAAUUUGUUUUAUAAUUGAAGAAUAGAAUGAAUGGUUUGACACGGGUGUGGCUGUCUCUUAUAUAUUUGUUAAAAGUUAACUUUCAGGUUAAAAGGCUUGGAUUAGAUUAAAGGACGAGAAGACCCUAUUGAGCUUAAAUUAGCAAUGGUGUUAGUGAUGAGUUAAUUUAGAUUAAUUAUGAAAUUGUGAGUUUUAGUUGGGGCGACUAAGGGACAGAUGAAGCUCUCUUAAGUAUUUAUAAAAAGUUGUUUGUUGAUCCAGUUGUUUUGAAUUAAAACCAAGUUACCAUAGGGAUAACAGCGUUAUCUUUUUUGAGAGUUCUUAUCGAGAAAAGGGAUUGCGACCUCGAUGUUGGAUUAGGGUUUAAUAAGGGUUGCAGGAGCUUUUAUGAUUAGUCUGUUCGA
rnacentral:rRNA from 1 species